rnacentral:misc_RNA from 1 species
AUGCCUGUUCGAGCGUCAUUUACACCAUUCAAGCCUGGCUUGGUCUUGGGGCCCGCGUACCAGCGGCCCUUAAAUCCAGUGGCGGUGCCGUUGGGCUCUAAGCGUAGUAACUCUCUCGCUAUAGGGUUCCGCGGUGGCUUGCCAUAACCCCAACUCUCAAGGUUGACCUCGGAUCAGGUAGGGAUACCCGCUGAACUUAA